UAUUGAUGCCGGAAUAAAUCCUGUAGAGUUACCGAGCAAGAAAACAAAUGUUUACGGGGUAAUAUGUUUAAAUGAGUUAGAUAGUAGUGUUCUGAACGAUAAAACUCAACAUGAUGAAUAUAGUCUAUUGGGAUUUUGCCGUGGUUUGCUAUCAAACCGUAUCUCGUUUUUUAUGGGUUUAACUGGUCCAGGCUACACUAUCGAUUCAGCCAGCAUAUCAAGUUCAUUAGCUAUUCAAAAAGCGUACGAAGCU